UUGUAUUGAAAAAACACAAACCUUCGAAAUACAUAAAUACAAGUAAAAGAAUGUAUUUAUGCAAAAAUAUAAUGUCUUUGUGUGAACUUGUAUAGAAUACAAUAUAUUUGUAUCGUUGUAUGUAACUAAAUAGUAAAGAAGAGAAGAAAGUUCGCCGGAUAUAAUGUAUUUCGGCCAAGAAAAAUAUUAUAUACAUUGCCAGAGAGGAGGAAGGGCGUAGUAAUCGACGAAAUAUUUUGGGGAGUUGAAAAUCAACAUAGAUCUAGUGAUUCCCGAAUAGGGCAGCCUUUCGAACUGCUAUUGAAUUCAUGGCCAAGCAAGAGAGAACCAGGCAAGCUGAAAGAUUUUAGUAGCCAAAGGAAAAGAAAGCAAAAGCAAUUCCUGGUAGCAAAGACCCUGGCCCUCGAAUCUUCUCCGGCAUAAAAAAUAUUGCAGUAUCCUUGUAGAGUAAUCCAUUGUAAUAUCCGGUGUAGAAGAAAGCCGUAGUGGCCCUCUUGUUUCAAAAUUGUUGAAUCAUCCAUUGAGGAGGAAAUUUGAAGUUUUCUGUUGAAAAUCUAACAAUAGUGAAGAUUUAAGAAAAAAGUUAAGAGAAAAAGAAAAGGCUUGAACCAGCCAAAAAUCCAAAAACUUUAAUACUUACCACAAUUUUUGGGAGCAAAAACGUUGAAAGUGAGAGAGAUAAUCGUUCUUCAAAAAUAAUGAAUACAAUCUUGCUGUGAGGGAGAAAUCAUGGAGAGAGAAAAGAGAAAUAUUUUGCUGUGAUUUUGGUAGAGAAUAACUGAAAGAAUGAGAUAGAAAAAUG
rnacentral:lncRNA from 1 species